AUCCUUUUGCUGUUUUUGCUUCCGAAUGGAAGCCUGAUUUGAUCGACUUUUCGAUUCACUCAUUUCAAUUGCAAAUAGCAAUUUAUCUAGAAUGUUAUGAAACGUGAAACAAACGAUGUUUUUUAUAUGUCUGUGUGUAUGGACUGUAGGAUGGCCCAUUUUUUCGGAUCUCCUAAUGUUUAAGAGCCUAUCCCGAAAAAUGAUUCUUCCAUUAAUAGACUACCCAAGAAAAUUAUCCAAAAAAAAUUUAAACAAAUUGUAGUGGUUGCGCGAAGCGUUUUAAGUUCAAGUAAAAUGUGUGACCUACUGGCAGUUAAGGGUUAUAAAAAUUAAGCAGAAGUUAAAUACCCUCAACGACGGUCCCGUGUCAGGUAGUAGGAAUGACCGCGGGUGGUGCUUCGGGUGUCGUCCAGGUAGUACCUAAGGGGCUUUCUUCCGACAUUUACGAAACAUCAAAAAUCAAUUUAGAAUUAAGCUAUUUUUACGAUUCAAAUUUUGUUGAAAUUUCUGUAAAUUGAUUAAAUGAACAAUGUUUAUUUUCUAAUUAAGAUAUAAAUAAUUGAGAGAUCUUCAUAUUCGAAAUGAAAUUAUAUGCCAUAACCAGCUUAACGUACUAAGGGUUUAGUUCCUUUUCAGGAAAGGUCAGUCCGGCAGGCCAAAUUUUUUUGCCUGGUUUCCAUUUCACUGUAUACGACCGUCAUAAAAGCACCGGAUGAGUCAGACACCUGUCUCUACACGAAAAUUUGACAAUUUUCUUUCCUGUUUUUCACCACAUUGCAUUUGCAAAAAAAAAAAUUUCUUCCCUCUAAAUGAUAGUCAGAUAGUUCAAUGAUCAUCUAACCGAAUCGAGAAGAAUAUCGAAAACUCCCGAAGCGUCGUAGACACCACCGAAAAUCCCUAAAUUGAACAGAAAUUACGAUUUUUAUUUUAAUAACAAAUCGUUUUUUUGUUGGGAGAAAAAUCUUAUCUUACUCUUAGCCUUUCUGCCGGAAAGUGUACGAUAGUUCAUAACGAAAGGUCGAGUCAUUGUAUUUAAAAAAAAUUAUUAUUGCAUUUGGUCUGUCCGUCACGUGUAAAUGUCCAUAAGAAAUUAAACCAGUUGGCGCAACCUCUAAAAAUGUUUUUAAAAAUCCGAAAAAAUUCACAUAUGAUCCUGAUAUUUUUAGCUAUGUGUACCACGAAUAGGCAGGGUGAAAUUCGAUUUCCUUCACUUAUGGGCCGUCCUAUUACGCAAUCAUUCCAUGAAAAAUUGGAAUAAGUUGACAUUUGAUAUAUUUGAUAUUAUGAUACUUUUUAUGGUAUUAAAGGAUCAUAUGGCGAGUGGGCACCAUCGAUGAGGUAAAAGAAUUGAAGAAUUAAUUUUUUUGUUAGAGUUCAUGUGUUUGUUUUACUCUGACAUCCGAUGACCUGUAAAAACGUGGGAAAGGAAUUUAACGUUUCAUGUGACAAUAGCCCGAAUGAUAUUAAAGAUUGACAUUUUCAAUGGGCGCAAUCGGUUGAGUGGUUUUGGAGAUAUUGAAUGUUUCGCACGAAACCUUUUGUUUCACACUGAUAAAUAAUUGCUUUCGAACACUUUGUAAAAUAAAAAUGUUUGUUGUAACUGUUGGAUUUUUCAUGAAAUGAAUAAAGAGCAAAAGUCAAUCUUAUUCUCUUCUGAUUGUUGAAAGACAUUUUUAUGGGUUGGAAUUGUGAGAAGUGUGAGGUAUGAUGUUGAGGUUUGAUUUUAAGUAUGUAGACAAAGUGGAAUGAAUAGGACUCUUUGAGAGCACGUGACUAAAAGGUCUAGGGUGUUGUUUCCCUUUGUAGAUCUAGUUAGUUCCUCCAAGAAAUCGGUAUAGACCGGAUGUGUCUUCCAAGCACAAUCAUUUGAGUUCAAUAAUCCUAUUAUAAAAAGGAGACCCGUGUACAGAUCGAUAUCGAUAUUUCUCGAAGAAAUAUCUCGAAAAUGCGUAAGCGUAAGACAGAAACCGAAGCGACAUCUGUCGAUUAUAUUAGUCGCACAUUGGGCUGGAACAAAUGAACCGGUAAAAACCAUCACAUUUGGCAACGUGUUUGAGUGUUUUUAUCCUAUUAUAAAAAGGAGAUAAUUUAUAAUCGUGAAACAUCAUGACAUCUCCACCUAUUAAAUAUACGACCAACAGAGCCAUUGAUCAUUUCAAUGUUGCAGCUACACUCAUGAAAAUCAUCGGCUACGUCGACAGCAUUGAAGACCUGAGAGAGUUGCCAAAGUCUCCAUCUAAGUGGAUUUACAAGUGCAUUUUAAAUAACAAUGAUGGCAGAAGGGUUCGCAUACUUUGCUCGGGGGAUGAUGCUCUCAAAUACAAGGAUGAGAUCAAGAUGUAUCAGAUAAUAAAAAUCACUGGAGGGAUUAUUAAAGCGGCCAAUCCACAGUAUCGGCGAUCAACGGACACUGUGAGCGACAAAGAAUUUCAAUUUGCACGUAGGAGCACUUUCGACAUCUUUGGCACAUUUAACAUUACGAAUGGAGCUGACAAUGGAAGGUCGAAGGUCAUCUCAUAUAAAAAAUUGAGAUGGAGAACGUUUGUGCUGCUCGCGGGCCAGUCCAGAUCACUGGAUGGCUCAAAGAGCCAUUCAGAAGCAUUACCACGUCCUGACUGAGGAUGUAGCCCUCAAUGAAGAUGAGUUGGAUGAUGCUGUCGAAGCACCUCCUCUCAUUCUCAAACGAGGGGCAGCUGAAUCUGCAUCUGGAGAGGCGAUGGACGUCGCGAAUAAGAAACUGAAAGCUGAAUAGCUUUAAUGACGUGCUAUUUACUCUGGAAGUUCAAUUGCAAAAUUGAAAAUUUUUUCUAUAACAAGUUCUAGACUGUUAUUUUUUCACACAAAAAUUGAGUUCUAUAACAAGUUUAACACUGUUAUUUUUUUACGCAAAAAUUUAAUUCUAUAACAAGUUUAAUACUGUUAUUUUUUUACACAAAAAUGAAACAUUGACAAGCUUGAGCUCUUUAAGAAUCUGAUUUUUUACUUUUAAAGACUGCCAACUUCAUAGCAGUAAGGUUAAUACUCAUUUAGCUUUAACAACCAAAACAGAUGGAAUUAUAAUAAUCUAUUCAUGAACAUUAGUAUUUAUUCAGAAUUUAUUUCAAUAUAUGGCCCUGUUUUUGAAGAAAAAGUAUUACUAAACAUUUGUAUUUUUUAUAUAUAACAGAGAAAACUGAAGACUAAUUAAUUUUAUGAUUAAAGUAGAUAAAGCUCUCCGGAAUCACAGAUAAGUGAUACAAAGGAUGUAUUCAUGUUAAUGUUUGUUCAUAUUUCUUAACAUAUGUUGUAAUGUCAAUUAUAAUUGUUGGAACAU